GCUCCUGUGGCCUAGUGGUUAGAGCGUCUGCUUCAGAUGCAGGUUAUGGGUUCGAACCCUGGCUGAGUUUUAACA